rnacentral:rRNA from 1 species
AGAAAGACGAUCUGGUCGAUCGGCCCGGCAUGUACGCACCGCGAGGUGUUUAGUGGACGGGUACGAAUCAGUCGAGGUCUUGACCUU